CCAGCAUGAAGCAAACAAUGGAGCAUGACAAGUCAUAUGAGCAGCCCUUCCCUCCCUGCGCAUGACUUGGGUUGCGUUACUGGGGCAACUCUCUACAGGGCAGGAAGAUGUGUUUGCAGGAGGAGGAGACAAGUCGCAAGAGCAACCAACCCUAUAUACCUGGCGACUGGAAGAGGAAGGAGAGAGAAAGAGAGAGAACGCGGAAGAAACAGCAGGAGGAAGAGAGAGACGGAGACCAAGGAGAGGCUCUCCUCUACGAGUAGAAACAUGGUCUGAGUUAUUAUCAAUGCCUGCAGCUAUGUGGCCGCAAGAAUUCAGAGUUGCUGCAGAAGCUGUUGCAAAAAUGAUGAAGGGAUGCUGAGGGAACCUUCCAUCCAACCAGAGGAAAAAGUUCCGCAAGUAGGUGGAUGACAACGUCAACCCAAAAUGGCCAAGCCUGCUGCCACGUGCAACUUUCCUAUUCAAGACCAGCCCAUUGGAACAUGAGGAUAAAGGACUGCAUGGGGUCCGCCCAUCACUGGAAGGACAUCCUGUGCUGCUCUUGAUUGAGAAAACUACAAUUUGGAAGUCAGCAUAGAUAGCAGCCCCAUCUACACUGCAUGAUAGGACCAUAUAAUGGUUUCAAACUACACUAUGUGGCAGUGUAGAUGGGGCCCGUGCUAGCUAAAGGCGUCUGAGAAUUGUAGUCAUGAAGUCAUAUUUCUCCCACAUAGAGAAAACUUGCUAAACCCUCUCUCGUCGUCAUAGGUAGCCAUGAAGACAAGUUCAGAAACUCCUCUUUGAAAGGAGAUGGAUGCGUUUGAUUUCCUUUGCCUAUGAGACCAAUAAAAGCAAGCACUGAAUUUAGAAAAUGCUGGAGUUCAAAGGUGUUCAUUAAAAGAGAUGUUGUUGUUCAUUUUUAUUUGUGUGUUUUCUGUGUUUUCCAUGCCUUCAUGUUGACUCAGACUGAUGGCAACGUUAUUGGUAGUAUUUUCUUGACUAGCUUUCUUCAAAAUAAAUACAGUAGAGUCUCACUUAUCCAAGCUAAACAGGCCGGCAGAAGCUUGGAUAAGCGAAUAUGUUGGAUAAUAAGGAGGCAUUAAGGAAAAGCCUAUUAAACAUCAAAUUAGGUUAUGAUUUUACAAAUUAAGCACCAAAACAUCAUGUUAUACAACAAAUGUGGCAGAAAAAGUAGUUCAAUACGCAGUAAUGUUAUGUUGUAAUUACUGUAUUUACGAGUUUAGCACCAAAAUAUCAUGAUAUAUUGAAAACAUUGACUACAAAAAUGGCUUGGAUAAUCCAGAAGCUUGGAUAAGCGAGGCUUGGAUAAGUGAGACUCUACUGUAAAUAAAUAAAUAAAUAAAUAAUAUUUUAUAAUUAUUUUUUAUGUACAUACAUUAACAACUUUCAGUAAAACAAAACACAAAAGCAAUGAACAUUUUACAAAAACAUAACCCCACCACCAAGGCCCAAACAAGUAUCAUUUCCUUUACCAUAAGAUUUAUAAGUCAACCAUUAAGCAAAUGUCAUAUCCAAAAUUCUUGACCAACAUGAUUGUAUUUUCCUUUUUCACUUUCUAGAAAGAGAAUAAUAAUAAUAAUAAUAAUAAUAAUAAUAAUAAUAAUAAUAAUAAUAAUCCAGACUGACAAAGUUCUGGAACACAACACACCAGACAUCACAGUUGUGGAAAAGAAAAAGGUUUGGAUCAUUGAUGUCGCCAUCCCAGGUGACAGUCGCAUUGACGAAAAACAACAGGAAAAGCUCAGCCGCUAUCAGGACCUCAAGAUUGAACUUCAAAGACUCUGAACUUCAAAGACCAGUGCAGGUGGUCCCGGUGGUGAUGGGCACACUGGGUGCCGUGCCAAAAGAUCUCAGCUGGCAUUUGGAAACAAUAGAUAUUGACAAAAUUACGAUCUGUCAACUGCAAAAGGCCACCCGACUGGGAUCUGCGCACAUCAUCCGAAAAUACAUCACACAGUCCUAGACACUUGGGAAGUGUUUGACUUGUGAUUUUGUGAUAAGAAAUCCAGCAUGUCUAUCUUGUUUGCUGUGUCAUAAUAAAAUAAUAAUAAUAAUAAUAAUAAUAAUAAUAAUAAUAAUAAUAAUAAUAAUAGUGUCCGACGUGUGAUCCAAUACAACAACCAGCAGAGUGUCUGCUGUUGUGUUUAUAAUAAUAAUAAUAAUAAUAAUAAUAAUAAUAAUAAUAAUAAUAAUAAUAAUAUCACACAGUCACUCUAGUGGGUCAGUGCCAUGCAAAAGGCCAUUGCAACAUGUGCACAGCAAACAAAGAAUAUAUACCUUUGGCUUAUCUAAAAUUGACCAAUGGCUGAGGGUCUUCCUCACCUUCCGCACCUACUUGGUGUAAAUGAGACUUGUGACCUCACUUGUUUACUCUGAGCUUUCUUCUCUCCUUGGAACUUCCUGGAGAAAGGCACCAGCUCACAGGAAGGGAGGGGCAUAUGCAGAGGCAAAGCUACAUAGGCAAAAGUUUACUAUUUUCUGGCUUAUGGUCCCUUCAGUGUGGGCACCUUUUUACCGUCCCGCCGAAGCGAUACCUAUUGAUCUACUCACAUUUGCAUAUUGUCGAACCGCUAGGUUGGCAGGAGCUGGGUCUAACAGCUUCGAACAGAUGCCGCGGGUCUGUUAGACACGGAUGGUAGGGAAAGGGAAGAGUUUAUACACACAGACAGGACCCCAGCACAAAUAAAGCAGUCAUUCCACAUUAACUACUAUAGCAAACACCUCUGGUAUCCUGGUUUUUGUACUUGAGGAUCAGGCAUUUAGACAUCUCUGCCGGGACACUCCAUAGCUUUCCCAAACUAUACACCUCCGGACGCAACUAAAAUGGAAUCACCAGGAUAUCAUUGUAGGCCUCCUGAUCAGUCAUCUGGUUUAAGAGGAAGCAAAACAAUGGAGUUGCAUGAGUCACAAAACAGCCUUACCUACCUGCCAACCAUAGGGUUACUAGGGCAACCAACCCCUUGAAGGACAGAACAGGAUGCCUUCCUGGCCAUAUACUCCUUGAAUGCAGACAGAAAAAAAGACUGUUUGUGGAAACAUUGUCUAACUCAUCACCAACAGUAAGUAAAAUAAUGGCUAUGACCAACGGAUGUCUAGGUUUGGAAAGAACCAUCCAAAUCUCUCCUCCGACAUUCCUUUUUUUUCCAGCUGCUUUUCAAAUGUCGCCACUUAGCAUGCUUCCUCUUUGUCUCUGACUUGCGUAGUUGGCACUCAACCAAAUGUACAUCUUCACUGUAGAACGGAUGUACUUUGAUACUUGAACUGCCAAGCCUCAAUGCUACCCUGUUUCCCCGAAAAUAAGACAGGGUCUUAUAUUAAUUUUUGCUCCCAAAGAUGCACUAGGUCUUAUUUUCAGGGGAUGUCUUAUUUUUCCAUGUAGAAGAGCUCACAUUUAUUGUUGAACAACAAAAUGAACAUUUAUUAUAUACUGUGUCAUCACAAACCAGCAUAACCAGACAAACUGAAUCCUAUCAAGAAUUUAUUGUUACUACCAUUAUUUACAUGUACAACAAUCUAUGGUACCUCUUGCAGUUUAGGUUUCACAAGGUUUCCACGCUGAUUUCUCUCUAUUCUAGUUUCAAUGUAGUCAUGAAUAAUAUAAUAUAAUA
rnacentral:lncRNA from 11 species